rnacentral:rRNA from 1 species
CCCUUAGAUGUUCUGGGCCGCACGCGCGCUACACUGUUCGACGCAGCGAGUCUUAACCUUGACCGAAAGGUUUGGGUAAUCUUCAGCAAAGUCGAACGUGAUGGGGAUCGAUCAUUGCAAUUAUUGAUCGUGAACGAGGAAUUCCUAGUAAGUGCAAGUCAUCAGCUUGCGCUGAUUACGUCCCUGCCCUCUGUACACACCGCCCGUCGCUACUACCGAUUGAAUGGUUUAGUGAGAUCUCUGGAUUGACGCUGGCUAGGGGGCGACCCUUGGCCAGGCUGUCGAGAAACUGCUCAAACUUGAUCAUUUAGAGGAAGUAAAAGUCGUAACA